UUAAAUAAACAUGUAUUUAUAAAUCUAUCAAAAUAAAAGUCAUGAGGAAGAAGGGGUCCACAGCCUGACAUCCUCCCCAUCUGCCCAGGAUGGGGGCUGACAGCUGCAGGCCCACAGCAGAGGAGCUCCAGUUCCCAUAAAUUUAAGCUGAAGAAAUUCCUGCAAAGGGGAAGAAAAGCCCGCCGCCCUGGGCCGCCGCCUGGGCUGAAAGAACUACCUCUCUGUUCCUGAGAAAGGCUCUUCGGGCGCAGAUCCUGCCCCGCUUAGACUCCAAGUGGCGGCACUGCCGGCUGAGUUCUUUCACCCCCAGACUCUCAUCCUGCAGCCCCACUGCACAAAAUCUGCACAUGUCCUUCAAGGCUGAAAAUAAGCUAUAGUAAAUACACAUCACAUCAAAAAACAAGACAUCGGCAAAGAAAAUGUUUCACCUUGAAAAUGUGCAGAAAUCUUAAUGGAUUGAGACAAUGGCUAAUGUAAAAUGCCUUUAUUUUAUUAUUUUUUAU